GCGGUCCCCAAAUCUUGGAACUAUCCACGUGACCUGAACAAGGAUUAUGCAUCCAACGUGAUCCAACUCACAGACGUUCUCUCGCGCGCUACGUCGAGAGUAACGGCUGUACACAGGCUAGUCUUUCAGUUCGCGUCGUGUUUUCUAAUCCAGUCUAAUAUCAGUAUUCCACAUGCUAGUUACCACCUCUCCCGCUGCACUACCAACACGAG